rnacentral:rRNA from 1 species
GCUGAAAGCAUCUAAGCGUGAAGCCGUCCACAAGAUAAGAUAUCCCACUGGGUUAACCAGGUAAGACCCCUUGUAGACUACAAGGUUGAUAGGCCGGAGGUGUAAGCGUGGUAACACGUUUAGCUGACCGGUACUAAUAGGUCGAGGCCUCGACCCU